UACGAAGGGGGCUAGCGUUGUUCGGAAUUACUGGGCGUAAAGGGCGCGUAGGCGGGGAGGUAAGUCGGGUGUGAAAUCCCUCGGCCCAACUGAGGAACUGCGCCCGAGACUGCUUCUCUUGAGUCCCGGAGAGGAAGAUGGAAUUCCCGGUGUAGCGGUGAAAUGUGUAGAGAUCGGGAGGAACACCGGUGGCGAAGGCGGUCUUCUGGACGGUGACUGACGCUGAGGAGCGAAAGCGUGGGUAGCAAACAGG
rnacentral:rRNA from 1 species